rnacentral:misc_RNA from 1 species
GAUGAAGAACGUAGCGAAAUGCGAUAAGUAGUGUGAAUUGCAGAAUUCAGUGAAUCAUCGAAUCUUUGAACGCACAUUGCGCCCCUUGGUAUCCCGAGGGGCAUGCCUGUUCGAGCGUCAUUUCACCACUCAAGCCUGGCUUGGUGUUGGGCGACGUCCCCUUCGGGGACGCGCCUCGAAACGCUCGGCGGCGUGGCACCGGCUUUAAGCGUAGCAGAAUCUUUCGCUUUGGAAGUCGGGGCCCCGUCUGCCGGAAGACCUACUCGCAAGGUUGACCUCGGAUCAGGCAGGGAUACCCGCUGAACUUAAGCAUAUCAAUAAGCGGAGGA